rnacentral:rRNA from 1 species
GAUGAACGCUGGCGGCGUGCCUAAUACAUGCAAGUCGAGCGAACAGACGAGGAGCUUGCUCCUCUGACGUUAGCGGCGGACGGGUGAGUAACACGUGGAUAACCUACCUAGAAGACUGGGAUAACUUCGGGAAACCGGAGCUAAUACCGGAUAAUAUAGUGAACCGCAUGGUUCAAUAGUGAAAGACGGUUUUGCUGUCACUUAUAGAGGGAUCCGCGCCGCAUUAGCUAGUUGGUAAGGUAACGGCUUACCAAGGCGACGAUGCGUAGCCGACCUGAGAGGGUGAUCGGCCACACUGGAACUGAGACACGGUCCAGACUCCUACGGGAGGCAGCAGUAGGGAAUCUUCCGCAAUGGGCGAAAGCCUGACGGAGCAACGCCGCGUGAGUGAUGAAGGUCUUCGGAUCGUAAAACUCUGUUAUUAGGGAAGAACAAAUGUGUAAGUAACUAUGCACGUCUUGACGGUACCUAAUCAGAAAGCCACGGCUAACUACGUG